UGGGGAAUAUUGGGCAAUGGGGGAAACCCUGACCCAGCAACGCCGCGUGAAGGAAGAAGGCCUUCGGGUUGUAAACUUCUUUUAUCCAGGGAGCGAAGGAAGUGACGGUACCUGGAGAAAAAGCAACGGCUAACUACGUGCCAGCAGCCGCGGUAAUACGUAGGUUGCGAGCGUUGUCCGGAUUUACUGGGUGUAAAGGGCGUGUAGGCGGAGAAGCAAGUUGGGAGUGAAAUCUAUGGGCUCAACCCAUAAACUGCUCUCAAAACUGUUUCCCCUUGAGUAUCGGAGAGGCAAGCGGAAUUCCUAGUGUAGCGGUGAAAUGCGUAGAUAUUAGGAGGAACACCAGUGGCGAAGGCGGCUUGCUGGACGACAACUGACGCUGAGGCGCGAAAGCGUGGGGAGCAAAUCAGGAUUAGAUACCC
rnacentral:rRNA from 1 species